rnacentral:rRNA from 1 species
UAAUACGUAGGGUGCGAGCGUUGCCCGGAUUUAUUGGGCGUAAAGGGCGCGUAGGCGGUCACGCACGUCCGUUGUGAAAUCGCUCGGCUCAACUGGGCGGGGUCAGCGGAUACGGUGUGGCUGGAGCAAGCUAGGGGGAAAUGGAAUUCCCGGUGUAGUGGUGGAAUGCGUAGAUAUCGGGAGGAACACCAGUGGCGAAGGC